rnacentral:rRNA from 2 species
CAUGCAGUCGAACGGUAACAGGAAGCAGCUUGCUGCUUUGCUGACGAGUGGCGGACGGGUGAGUAAUGUCUGGGAAACUGCCUGAUGGAGGGGGAUAACUACUGGAAACGGUAGCUAAUACCGCAUAACGUCGCAAGACCAAAGAGGGGGACCUUCGGGCCUCUUGCCAUCGGAUGUGCCCAGAUGGGAUUAGCUAGUAGGUGGGGUAACGGCUCACCUAGGCGACGAUCCCUAGCUGGUCUGAGAGGAUGACCAGCCACACUGGAACUGAGACACGGUCCAGACUCCUACGGGAGGCAGCAGUGGGGAAUAUUGCACAAUGGGCGCAAGCCUGAUGCAGCCAUGCCGCGUGUAUGAAGAAGGCCUUCGGGUUGUAAAGUACUUUCAGCGGGGAGGAAGGCGAUGAGGUUAAUAACCUCAUCGAUUGACGUUACCCGCAGAAGAAGCACCGGCUAACUCCGUGCCAGCAGCCGCGGUAAUACGGAGGGUGCAAGCGUUAAUCGGAAUUACUGGGCGUAAAGCGCACGCAGGCGGUCUGUCAAGUCGGAUGUG